AUGUACAAGUGGCUAGAAAAAACCCUGAGUGGGUGCAAUUACAAAUGGAUUUGGAAAGCCAGGCUCCCUCUAAAGAUCCAGAUCUUUCUUUGGCAACUGUCUCAAGAUGCGGUGCUCACUAGGCAGGUGAUGCGCCAACAUAAAUGGCCUGGGAACCCUGUGUGUUCCUUUUGCAAACAAAUUGAAACAUCCUGCCACUUGUUCUUUGAUUGUCAUGUUGCUAAAGUUGUGUGGCGAUCGAUUGAGGUCACCCUCGGAACAGACGCAGUUUUUUAUUUGGUGUCACUCUUUCUUGCCAGGUUAUGA
rnacentral:rRNA from 1 species